AAACAUAACUGGCUGCAACAUCUGGCAUCCCAUUGAUUUCCAUUUGGCUGGCUAGGUGGGUGUCUGCUUCUUCCCUCACCCUCCCUGUGCAUUACUCUGUCAGCUGCAUGGUUGAUCAGAGGACAACCUUCACUGAACAGAGGAAGACUGGUCCUGGAUAUAUUAGUAGCUAUACUCCCCUGAUAGUACUUCCAAACAAGCUUUCUAAAGUUUUGUUGUUGUUGAUUGGUUGGUUGGUGGCUAUUUGUCAUUUGUU
rnacentral:snRNA from 1 species